GCUGAGAGAGUGUGAAUCGGAAGUGUUUAGUCACAGCAUGGAAUGAAGAUCCGUAUGGGCUUCAUCUGCAAGUAAACUCUCUGCAUCAACUAUGGCAGCACUCGUCAGAUUAGCAACUCUACAGUUACGAAUUGGUGCUUGCAGUGCAAUCUAUCCUGCUACAGCACAGAUUUUGUGGCACAGGACACGUAACAACAGACAUCAGAGCAUCUACACUUUUACUAAGGGGUUUCAAGAUGAAUGCAGACGGAUUCAGCAGAAAGCAACUGCCUUACCACAGA